AACGAACGCUGGCGGCAUGCCUAACACAUGCAAGUCGAACGAGACCUUCGGGUCUAGUGGCGCACGGGUGCGUAACGCGUGGGAACCUGCCCUUAGGUUCGGAAUAACUCCCCGAAAGGGGUGCUAAUACCGGAUAAUGUCUUCGGACCAAAGAUUUAUCGCCUUUGGAUGGGCCCGCGUUGGAUUAGCUAGUUGGUAGGGUAAAAGCCUACCAAGGCGACGAUCCAUAGCUGGUCUGAGAGGAUGAUCAGCCACACUGGGACUGAGACACGGCCCAGACUCCUACGGGAGGCAGCAGUGGGGAAUAUUGGACGAUGGGCGAAAGCCUGAUACAGCAAUGCCGCGUGAGUGAUGAAGGCCUUAGGGUUGUAAAGCUCUUUUACCCGGGAUGAUAAUGACAGUACCGGGAGAAUAAGCUCCGGCUAACUCCGUG
rnacentral:rRNA from 1 species